AUGUAUUGGGGUAGAUUAAGGUGU
rnacentral:miRNA from 1 species